GGGGAUGUGGCUCAGGGGUAGAGAGUUUGCCUAGCAUGCAUGAGACUCUGGGUUCCAUCCCCAGUACCACCC
rnacentral:tRNA from 1 species